GACGGUGCGACGGGCGACCGGUUUUCCGGCGUGUGUUCAUCGUGGUUUCCUUUUCAUAAUAUUAUUUCGGUAUAGUAUUAGAUCUCAAGUUCCCUAGUAUUUCAUUUUUACUAUUGAAGAAGACGAGAGUGCUCAUUUCGAUCAUUUGGCCAUUUUCUACGGUUUAUUGGUAAUGCCAUGGUUUCUGAUGAUCCGUCUUCCGCUACGAACGGUAUGGCCAAUCAAGAGAAUAAUAUCAGUCAUAGGACUCCAUAUUCAGAAAAUUGCAACUCUUUUCCUACUUUCGAAAGACUUGAAGAGUCGAAUACGAGAGAAAAUUUGAGUGGAGAACUGCCGAUGGAAAUUAUUACAAGUAAUUCUCAAGAUGCUUUUAUUAGUGCUCCAGUAUUGUGCGAAGUAUAUGAACACGAUCAGUUCUUCAAGGGAUGCAAAUGGUCCCCAGAUGAUUUAUCAAAUAGAAUUUUAACUUGCGACGGUGGAAAUAAAUUGAGAAUAUUUCAUACAUUUCUAAACAGAAUGGAUUUUGUCAGUUCGCAAAUAUCUGAUGAUUUUUGCGAACUAUCGAACAUCGGAAAAAUCUACGAUUUUGAUUGGUACCCGAUUGUUUCACCAUCUCAAUAUUAUGUUUUAGUCGCCAGUAGUUUGGGCCCUAUUCAUAUGUGGGAUUUGCGUACCUCAAAAAGUGAAGCUUCUUACCAAAUGUAUAGCACGAAAGAUGAAGCAGUUCAUGCUCAUUGCGUUACGAGUUCACUUGAUGGGCAAGAAAUAUACGCAGCUACUUCAGAUUACAUCUUUCACUUUGAUGCCAACAGACCCGGUCGAACUUACGAUUUUGUCUCAACCAGAUCUCAUUUCAGGCGAGCUAUUAUAUCCACGAUUGCAUUAAAUCCGAUUCGAAAUUCAAUGUUUGCUGUUGGAACGUACAAUAAUCGCAUUGGUAUAUAUGACGAAGCGCAAUUAUUAUGUAUGUUAUAUGGCCAUACUAAAGGUAUUACGUAUUUGAAGUUCUCACCAAAUGGAACAUUUCUCUUCUCGGGAGUGCGGGGUGAAAAAGAAAUAAUUUGUUGGGAUCUGCGUAAUCCUGGAACAGCGUUGUAUAAAUUGAAUCGAGCGGUUAAAACCCAACAGAGAAUUUAUUUCGACUUGACAGCUGACGGAAAGUACAUCGUUAGUGGUAGCACUAAUGGUGAUAUUCUCGUUUGGAAUACGUUGUUACCACCUGUUGAUGAUACUUUGGAACCUAUCUGUACGUUUAAAGCGCAUGAAGAUUGCGCCAAUGGUAUCAGCAUUAAUAAACAAGUUCCUAUAAUCGCUACGGUUUCCGGUCAGUAUCACGACAACGAAUCGUCGCGUUUGUUUUACGAUAGCGAAGACGAAUACCAACCUGUUGAUUACCCUAAAAUCGAAAAUUCGCUGAAAUUAUGGCAUGUAAAGUGGUAGAAACUGAAGAAGAUUUCCGUGUGAAUAUGGACUCGUGAAAUUGUCACUGUUAACCAACAUGACGAACUUUCGGCGGAGUGCAAGUUUGCUAAAAAAUGCUCGCUAGAUCAUCGUGAUCGGGAACCUGUUGAUACUGGAGAUCGUUUCAAAGGGAGAAUUAUGUUUUUUGCUUAAUGGACUACCUAUGUACGUUGUACGGUGGUAUGAGGAAGACUGCGAAUUAUCACGUGUGUUGUGUAUUUAAUGUACCUACUACCUAGGACUACCCACUAGAUCACGAGGACGAGUAUUUUUACGUACCAACUGCAGUACUGCAGUAUAGGCGUAGAUGAGAUGCUCUUGAGAUCUUGUUCUUUGCGUGUUUUGGAAACUGAAGGAGCUACGCUUGAAAUUUUAAAAAAUUGAAUUUUAAUUUUCAGAGCAAUCCAAACGAAUACUAAUCUUGUUUUGCAAAAUGAUCUUCCUUUGAAAAAAAAAUUUGCGAGAGUGUAAAAUGACUGAAAAUAAAGAUCGAUUCGCUGUAAACAUUUUUGUGCACACGGCUCCUUCAGUUUCGGAGAUGGAUGAUCUUAUUGUAGAACCUUAAUCUUGUUCGCCAGCAUGUUACACAACUUCAUUUUCAUAACUACGAAAAAAUUUGAGAGUUUGGCCCCUACAAUUCUCAAAGUACGUAGACACAUUUCAGGAAACUGGAUGUGAGGUCGAUGUAUGUUACUCCUUCGAGUAAAUUAUGAAAACUGUGUCGUCUCGAUGGGUGGUGUAGGUACACUUUUGACAGUUACCUAUAGUUGAAGUUGGGAAAAUAGGGAUUUAGUAGUUGUAAUUUGGUAUACGUCAGUCAGUUACCUAUAUAAAUUCGUAAAAGUACCUAAUGGCUUUUCUUUUUAGAAAACACUGAAACAAAAUGUAGUAAACUUAUACCUACUGAAAUUUUGCAGUCAGGUUGUAAAAUUUAUAGAUUUUCAGUUAUAAAAUUUAAACAUUCUUUCCUCCUUCCUCUACUCAGGUAACUUCGAAGGAAUAUAUUGCCCAAUACAGUCGUUGAAACUUGAGAGGUCAGGCUCAGGUCGAACGAGGAUUGUUCGGCAGAUAAUCCUCUUCUUAUGGAAGAAAUUGAUUAAUUGGAAAAAUUUCAUACUUGGUAACACCUUUUUUAAGGAAAAUAUUGGAAAAGUUGCGUCUGAUUGACAAUUGAGUAGCCGAGAAAAUUGGAAAAUUUUAUUCAUUAAAAAUUUGAACUUUCGAUAAAGAAAGAUGGAUCGUGAAAAAAGUGUCUGAUUAAUUUUAUGUGAAAAAAUAAAAUUUAUUUUAAUGAAAAAAAAAAUUAUAAAAAUUGAUGAUUGACGUAUUUUAAUCAAUAAGUAUUUAUGUUUUUCUUUUGGUGAAGUAAAUUACAGAAAGCAACCAUUAGAACCUUCCAAAGUUUCAGAUUUUUCUGAAUUAAUGUCCUAAAAUCAUAACGAGGAUUAAAAGUUUUUUUCAUAAUUUAGUUUUA